AGUAGCGCUGCGCUUGGAUGGCCCUGGUACCCAGUCGCUCUUGUCGCCGGUGGCCUCCGAGCCUGCCCGUUAUUGACCCCAGCCUGCUGAAUCAGAGGGUUGGAUCAUCUUGUUUCUGAUUAAGUUUGAUUAUGUGAUGAAUGACUACUGAGGAGAAAUAUGAAGCAUGAAAUCAGAAAACAGCAACAAUCAACCUGAAGGUAUAGUCUAAAACCAUUGGGCAGGCCAGGUGUCACCUCUCCUGCAGUGUCUCAGGCUCCUUUGCGGGGACUACUCCAUUCUUCUCCGGGAAAUCCUGACACUCCUCAGGGAGGAAUCUGAGCCAGAACUUCCCCACUGCUCUUCAGAGGAAUGGAUAAGAGCCUGGACCUACCUAUCAAGGAAUUAAAAUUGCCCACAGGAACUCCCCAUUCAUUCCUCAGUCCUCCACCACUGUGAAAGACUCUGAGCAACCCAGGGUUCAACUGAGCAACUUCAAUCCCAAAGGUGGAAUUACUAUCCACAUAAUAAGAUAUAAAAUCAAUCAUAUCUUACUUUUCACAAGUUAUUUUCUUAAAAGCUGUAUCUAAAAUACACAUAAUAAAAUGAUUUUUAAGAGUUUGACACUGAAUCAUUCUUCAUUUUUUGGGGGGGGC